CCGCCGGGCACGACCAGCGUCUGCAGCUGCCGGACCAGCUCGGGCAUGCGGUCCCAGUGGCCCUCCGCGCGGCAGCGCUCCAGCUCGCUCUCCAUCUUCAGGCAAUGACAGAGUCUCUGACAAUGGCUUUCAGCUGAGAGUGAAACCAGAGCUUAAAAUCCACCAUAAGAGGUUUUCUCUGUUCUGCAGGAGGUUUACUUUAAAGAGACCUCACUUUCAACCAUACGAUCUUGGGAAGAGAACCUCAAGCCUCUGAUGAGAUCCCAGCCCUACCCAACACCUUGAUUUCAGCCUUGUCAUACUCUGAGCAGGGAGCCUAAUUGAUCCUUACCUGGACUUCUGAUCUACAGAACUGUGAGAAAAUAAAUGGAUAUUAUUUUAA